AGAAAAUUAAUCCUGCGGAUGUAUUUGACAUUCGAAGGCGAUUGUCGGAUGAUAAGCAGAAACGAAAAUACUUACCUAAAAUAUAUGAUCCUUUCGUGAAUGGAGGCUUUCGUGCAGAAAUCCAAAAAAAUGUUUCACUUCGACCCUUUAUUACAAAUGAAACUGACACAACAAACUCCAUUUUGGUAAAUAAGAUUCAUGGUCUCCUUAUUUCUAAUAAUAGUAAUUCUCUAGAAUUUGACCAGAAAAUAGAUCAAUUUGAUAGAAAAUUAUUAUUAACUAAAAUUGGGUUUUUUGUUAAGUUAAUCAGUAAAUUUUCGGAAAAAUCAGUAUCAAGUUUGGAUUUUGACGCAAUUCACUUAUUUCCAGAACAUGAACAAGGAAAAAUGUAUUCCGAAGAAAAAAAAACUUUUUUUUCGACGCAAUUCGGACUACUCAUACCAACGAUACAAUUUUCACUACAAGUUUAUCGAGUGAAAUAAACGAAAUAAGUAAAGAAGUUCCUCGAUGGGAAUACCAAUUGAUCGACGACAUCGAGGUAGGGCUGAAUCNGAAGAAAAUUAAUCCUGCGGAUGUAUUUGACAUUCGAAGGCGAUUGUCGGAUGAUAAGCAGAAACGAAAAUACUUACCUAAAAUAUAUGAUCCUUUCGUGAAUGGAGGCUUUCGUGCAGAAAUCCAAGACAACGUUUCACUUCGACCCUUUAUUACAAAUGAAACUGACACAACAAACUCCAUUUUGGUAAAUAAGAUUCAUGGUCUCCUUAUUUCUAAUAAUAGUAAUUCUCCAGAAUUUGACCAGAAAAUAGAUCAAUAUGAUAGAAAAUUAUUAUUAACUAAAAUUGGGUUUUUUGUUAAGUUAAUCAGUAAAUUUUCGGAAAAAUCAGUAUCAAGUUUGGAUUUUGACGCACUUCACUUAUUUCCAGAACAUGAACAAGGAAAAAUGUAUUCCGAAGAAAGAAAAAAAAACUUUUUUUCCGACGCAAUUCGGACUACUCAUACCAACGAUACAAUUUUCACUACAAGUUUAUCGAGUGAAAUAAACGAAAUAAGUAAAGAAGUUCCUCGAUGGGAAUACCAAUUGAUCGACGACAUUGAGGUAGGGAUGAAUCCUACCAUACACACAAAGGAUCCUCAGAUUUGUUGCCGAUUACCGGGUGAGCAAAUUGUUUUCAGUUGUGAGACACUGUUCUCUAAGACGGAUGAGGCUUACAAUCGAGAUUUUUCGAGGAAGCAUCCAUCAAUAGACCCAAGUACGUACUUUCGUAUCCCGCAUUUUCUAUGGGAAAUGGAUUUCGACCGAGAGAUUAUCAGAGGAUCCGUGCACGGCCAAAGGCGUAAAAUAGCCAUUUUGAAACUCUUUCAAGCAAAUGUCCAUUCCCCAAUUUUUGUAGACAACUACCCGUUUGGUGGUCUUUUCGAUGAUAUCGUCCAAUAUGUGAAAGAAUAUUUCAGGAAACCUGGCACUGAUAAUUCGAAAUUUUUGCAGUUUCAGAAAGUGCAAGAAGAGAGACGGAAAGAGGACCAGAAAGACGAGAUUGAAAACAGACUUGAAAAAAUCGAAGAGGCCUGGGAGAGCAUUCUAUAUGGUCAAUGGAAAAAGAAGGGUCCGAGACGGAAAUAGCAGCAACAACUGGGUUUAUUACGGGACGCCUGAUGAUCUUCAUAUCCAUCUAUUAUACGCCUUUGCAUUUGGCAUUGAAUAGACCUCAUACGGUAUGAUUCUUACUAGUACCUUAUCUUUUCUUUUAUUUUCUAUACCACAAUGGCAAUCAUUUCUAUCGGUCGGCUUGGGUAUCCGACCUGUCUUCUGGAUACAAGGAUCCAGUUUUGGUGGAUUCUGGAUACAAGAAUCCAAACUCAAUACGUAAUUUGAGGAUUUACAAAGUAUUCUUCAAUAAUCUUUUGUUUCAACUGUUUUAUCCCGUUGUUGUUCAGAGUUCAAUCGUACUAAGAGUAAUGAACAUUUAUCUGUUUCGAUCCAACAAGAAAUUGUUCUUCUUAAUAAGUAGUUUUGUUGGGUGUUAAUUGGUCACAUCUUUUUGAUGAAAUGUAUUGGAUUGGUAUUAGUCGGGUUAAAGCAAAAAAAUUCGAUCAAAUCUAAGAUAACUAUGAGAUUUGAUAAAUACACUCUCCUACAAUUGCGAAAAUUAUACGGCGCAAAUGUUUGGAGCUUUUGCAUUUUUCUUCUUUGCACUCUAUUUAGGCAACUCACCGUCCCCGUAUUAUUAUGGUGCCGAAAUGGGAGACUACGACGAAAACCGGGAGGGGGAAAUCCAAGCUGCAAUAGAUCCGGACGAAACUAACCAAGAAGAUAUUACUGUUUAUCUUUCUCAGAAUGAGAAAAAAGAGACGACUUCCAACAACAUAAAUAUUGACAAAAAUAAAAAACUGGCCCCAUUGGAAAAAUCUCUUGUAACGACUCUUUUCGAUUAUAAUCGAUGGAGUAGGCCUUUGCGAUAUAUAGAAAAUCAUAAGUUUAACAGGAUUGAAAAAGAUGAAAAUUCACAAUUUUUCUUUCAAACAUGAGAAAGUGAUGGAAAAAAACGAAUAUCUUUCACGUAUCCACCUCAUUUAUCUACUUUUCAGAAACUCCUGGAAAAAAAAAUGGAUCUCUUCAGAAGCGAUAGCGAUAAAACCUCCUAUAAUCAUAAUGAUCUUUCACGUAUCCACCUCAUUUAUCUACUUUUCAGAAACUCCUGGAAAAAAAAAUGGAUCUCUUCAGAAGCGAUAGCGAUAAAACCUCCUAUAAUCAUAAUGAAUUGUUUAAUUAUUGGAGCUCGACUAAUAAAGAAAAACUAAAUCAACUAAGCAAUGAAUUAUUUCAAAAGGCAAAAAUUAUAGAUAGGAAAGAUAAGAAGAAAAUUAAUCCUGCGGAUGUAUUUGACAUUCGAAGGCGAUUGUCGGAUGAUAAACAGAAACGAAAAUACUUACCUAAAAUAUAUGAUCCUUUCGUGAAUGGAGGCUUUCGUGCAGAAAUCCAAAACAACGUUUCACUUCGACCCUUUAUUACAAAUGAAACUGACACAACAAACUCCAUUUUUGUAAAUAAGAUUCAUGGUCUCCUUAUUUCUAAUAAUAGUAAUUCUCCAGAAUUUGACCAGAAAAUAGAUCAAUUUGAUAGAAAAUUAUUAUUAACUAAAAUUGGGUUUUUUGUUAAGUUAAUCAGUAAACUGACACAACAAACUCCAUUUUGGUAAAUAAGAUUCAUGGUCUCCUUAUUUCUAAUAAUAGUAAUUCUCCAGAAUUUGACCAGAAAAUAGAUCAAUUUGAUAGAAAAUUAUUAUUAACUAAAAUUGAGUUUUUUGUUAAGUUAAUUAGUAAAUUUUCGGAAAAAUCAGUAUCAAGUUUGGAUUUUGACGCACUUCACUUAUUUCCAGAACAUGAACAAGGAAAAAUGUAUUCCGAAGAAGAAAAAAAAAUCUUUUUUUUCGACGCAAUUCAGACUACUCAUACCAACGAUACAAUUUUCACUACAAGUUUAUCGAGUGAAAUAAACGAAAUACGUAAAGAAGUUCCUCGAUGGGAAUACCAAUUGAUCGACGACAUCGAGGUAGGGCUGGAUCCUACCAUACACACAAAGGAUCCUCAUAUUUGUUGCCGAUUGCCGGGCGAGCAAAUUGUUUUCAGUUGUGAGACACUGUUCUCUAAGACGGAUGAGGCUUACAAUCGGGAUUUUUCGAGGAAGCAUCCGUCAAUAGACCCAAGUCCGGACUUUCGUAUCCCACAUUUUCUACGGGAAAUGGAUUUUGACCGAGAGAUUAUUAGAGGAUCCGUGCACGGUCAAAGGCAUAAAAUAGCAAUUUUGAAACUCUUUCAAGCAAAUGUCCAUUCCCCAAUUUUUGUAGACAACUACCCGUUUGGUGGUCUUUUCGAUGAUAUCGUCCAAUAUGUGAAAGAAUAUUUCAGGAAACCUGGUACUGAUAAUUCGGAAUUUUUGCAGUUUCAGAAAGUGCAAGAAGAGAGACGGAAAAAGGACCAGAAAGACGAGAUUGAAAACAGACUUGAAAAAAUCGAAGAGGCCUGGGAGAGCAUUCUAUAUGGUCUUGUAAUCAAAAAAUUUGUAAUAUUAUUCCAAUCAAUAUUUAGAAAAUAUAUUCUAUUACCUUCAUUGAUAAUCACUAAAAAUAUAAUUCGUAUCUUAUUAUUUCAAAAUCCGGAAUGGUCAGAAGAUUUUAGGGAUUGGAGAAGAGAAAUCCAUGUUAAAUGCACCUAUCAAGGCGUUCCAACAGGUAGCAACGCAUUGCCAAUCGACUGGUUCUGGGGCGGUCUUCAGAUAAGGGUCUUACACCCUUUUGUUCUGAAACCUUGGCACAAUAAACCUAAGGUACGAUCUACUGAAAAAAAAAAAAGAUACACUCCAAAAAGCGUACUUGAAACAACCGCCUUUGAAAAAAACUUCUUGUUUUUAACAGGUUAUGGAACACUAGUCGAAGCGUACACUGAUGAGCAUGUCCCAAACCCAUUUGCAUUUUUGGGUCCUAUUUUCAAUCAAAUAACAAAACAAUUGAAAAAAGAUUUGAAAAAGUCUUUUCGAAAAUUGGAUAAUCAAAAAGAAAGAAAAAACAGGUCUCCAUCCUGGGAGAAGAAUUAAAACAAAUAGAAAACGAAUUGAGUGAAAUCCAAAAAAAUUCACCAAUUAAUCCAAUGAUUGAGGAAUCGCCCGAUAUAAUUCAAUCUAUUAAUCCAAUGAUUGAGGAAUCGCCCGAUAUAACUCAAUCUAUUAAUUGGACAAAUUCAGAAAAAAGGAUAAAAGAUCUUAAUGUUAAAACAAAGACGAUCUUAAAACAAAUAGAAAAAAUGACAGAAGAAAAAAACGAGGGGGUUAUAACUGAUGCUAAAA
rnacentral:lncRNA from 1 species